CCGAGGGGAAGGAGCGCGGGGGCAGCGCUGCGGAGUGCUGGGGGCGGCCCCCGCUGUGGUGCGGUGCGGUGCGGGGCGAGCGGACGCAGCCCCCUCCCCACCCGGAGCGGCGCGGCACAGCGCGGUCCGGCACGGCACGGCACGGCGGGAGGUUGUCGGGCGCGGGGGGAGGACUUGAGGCUGGCAAGGUGAGAGCUCGGAUUGCCGGAGUGCCGGGAGGAAGCUGCCAUUUGUGAGCUGUGAGUGACGAGCGUAACAAUCUGAUAGUUUAUAUGAAGAAGGAACUGACCCCUGAAGUGAAGAGACAGAACAGUGGACUGAAAACUCACCAGAAACAGUGACCAUUUUACACCUCAGCAAGUUUCUGCUUUAGGUCUUUUCUGGUAUUAAGCAUAUCUAUACACUUCAGAAGAUAAAAUGAUGCAGACAUGUGCUUCACUUUUUUCGGGUAAACAAGCAAGACUCUGGACACGGUGCUCUCAUAACCAAAUGUGCACAGUAUGCAAAACAAAUUGGACAAAAGGGAAAGGAAUUGCAACAACGCAAAAUAAUGGGCAUGCAUCUAGGAUCUUCGGAAGGCACCUUUCCUUUUUUCUGAAGGUAAUUUCAGCACCACUAAUGGACACUUAUUGUUCAUCAGCUGGAGGAAAGAUGGGAAGGCGGAAGGGAACAAAUGAUCAUUGUGGGAUAACCAACACAGAAGACAGAAGGAGUACCAGCAGGGGUGACAUGGAGCUAAAGCCACACAGAGAAGCAACCAGUAUGUCCAAAACAUCUUGGCAAAGCUGAUGUAUUCCCAGCAUAUGAGGAGAUUGCAGUACAAGUUCCUAUGACAAUAUAUUGCAGACUGUGUGCUGGGAAAGCACCUCAAUUAGGGAAAAUUUCCCUGUGGAAGGAGAAAUGCAUAAGCAGAAACUGGUGAACUAAAGAGAUGUCGUUAAGGUUAGCAGUGGGAUUUUUUUGAGACAGUGUUUGUUUUUUUCUGGUGUGAUAGUGGGUCACCAAAACAACCUGUGGGGCUGCUGAGGUAUAGUUUUGAAGGUAAAGUGAUGUGAGAUUUAUUGCCAGGCUGCCAAAUUCUUGUGACAUCUUUCAGGGCUGAUGGGAAUUCAAAGUGUACUCGGUGCUUUUAUUGGGCUGAAAGAUACACUGCAGAAAAUAAUAAUUGGCAUAAAACACUGUUCCAUUCCAUUGAAAUUUCUCUGCCUUUGCUAAUGUUUGCUUAAUGUGUACUAGCGCAGUACAUGCAUUGUAGAAUAACCAUUACUUCAAUUAUGAGACAUAAUAGGAAGUCACUAAAAGAUUUUUUAAUGGUAUUUUAUGUUAGUGUUUAGAUAAAUUAAGAACUAGUGCUUUUUCAGUUACUUUUUGCACAACAGACUAAAUUGCAAUAAGAAGGUAACUGAUUAAAGCAGGCUGAUGGUCUGUUGAUUUUGCCAUGCAAAACCCUUCUUUCACACAUUGCCUGUUGGAAACAAUAUUCAACUUGGAGAGAGCAGGAAGAAGCUAGAUACAGGAAAGCAGAGGCAAGGUUUUCAGUUAUUUGCCUUAGUCCACAUUCACAAUUCUUUACAUUCCUGCAAAGCUGCUUUUCAGGUUCUUUAGGUAGCUGGAGAAGUUUAUUCUCUGGCUGUCCAGUAUUGAACUGCACUAACACUGAGAUUGGGGCUGAACCUAAUUGAGAUAGUGGCUGUGAUCCAGAAGGAAAAAGUUUUCCAUACGAAAUCCUUGUAGAGUCUUCAGCAAGAGGAAUGAAAACAACAGUAUACCUCAGUACCAGCCUGGAUAA
rnacentral:lncRNA from 1 species